rnacentral:SRP_RNA from 13 species
GUGGCGAGAACUUCAGGAAGCUGGGUGACAAGGUCUAUGCGCUCAUGGACCAGCUUCGUGCCAACCAAUUAGAUCUCAAGAAGGCCGAGUCCGGUGGGCUUGAGAAGCAGAACCGCAUCAGCAGGCUAGAGAAGCAGCAGGCAGAUUU